AUGGCUCAGAUUGAACGCUGGCGGCAGGCCUAACACAUGCAAGUCGAGCGGUAGCACAGAGAGCUUGCUCUCGGGUGACGAGCGGCGGACGGGUGAGUAAUGUCUGGGAAACUGCCUGAUGGAGGGGGAUAACUACUGGAAACGGUAGCUAAUACCGCAUAAUGUCGCAAGACCAAAGUGGGGGACCUUCGGGCCUCAUGCCAUCAGAUGUGCCCAGAUGGGAUUAGCUAGUAGGUGGGGUAAUGGCUCACCUAGGCGACGAUCCCUAGCUGGUCUGAGAGGAUGACCAGCCACACUGGAACUGAGACACGGUCCAGACUCCUACGGGAGGCAGCAGUGGGGAAUAUUGCACAAUGGGCGCAAGCCUGAUGCAGCCAUGCCGCGUGUGUGAAGAAGGCCUUCGGGUUGUAAAGCACUUUCAGCGGGGAGGAAGGCGGUGAGGUUAAUAACCUCAUCGAUUGACGUUACCCGCAGAAGAAGCACCGGCUAACUCCGUGCCAGCAGCCGCGGUAAUACGGAGGGUGCAAGCGUUAAUCGGAAUUACUGGGCGUAAAGCGCACGCAGGCGGUCUGUCAAGUCGGAUGUGAAAUCCCCGGGCUCAACCUGGGAACUGCAUUCGAAACUGGCAGGCUAGAGUCUUGUAGAGGGGGGUAGAAUUCCAGGUGUAGCGGUGAAAUGCGUAGAGAUCUGGAGGAAUACCGGUGGCGAAGGCGGCCCCCUGGACAAAGACUGACGCUCAGGUGCGAAAGCGUGGGGAGCAAACAGGAUUAGAUACCCUGGUAGUCCACGCCGUAAACGAUGUCGAUUUGGAGGUUGUGCCCUUGAGGCGUGGCUUCCGGAGCUAACGCGUUAAAUCGACCGCCUGGGGAGUACGGCCGCAAGGUUAAAACUCAAAUGAAUUGACGGGGGCCCGCACAAGCGGUGGAGCAUGUGGUUUAAUUCGAUGCAACGCGAAGAACCUUACCUGGUCUUGACAUCCACAGAACUUAGCAGAGAUGCUUUGGUGCCUUCGGGAACUGUGAGACAGGUGCUGCAUGGCUGUCGUCAGCUCGUGUUGUGAAAUGUUGGGUUAAGUCCCGCAACGAGCGCAACCCUUAUCCUUUGUUGCCAGCGGUCCGGCCGGGAACUCAAAGGAGACUGCCAGUGAUAAACUGGAGGAAGGUGGGGAUGACGUCAAGUCAUCAUGGCCCUUACGACCAGGGCUACACACGUGCUACAAUGGCAUAUACAAAGAGAAGCGACCUCGCGAGAGCAAGCGGACCUCAUAAAGUAUGUCGUAGUCCGGAUUGGAGUCUGCAACUCGACUCCAUGAAGUCGGAAUCGCUAGUAAUCGUAGAUCAGAAUGCUACGGUGAAUACGUUCCCGGGCCUUGUACACACCGCCCGUCACACCAUGGGAGUGGGUUGCAAAAGAAGUAGGUAGCUUAACCCUCGGGAGGGCGCUUACCACUUUGUGAUUC
rnacentral:rRNA from 1 species